AUUUUUGUUAUAUAGGGAUUUUGAAAGUCUCUCACGGGAGUCGCUCCCACCCGAUG
rnacentral:tRNA from 1 species